UACGUAGGGGGCAAGCGUUGUCCGGAUUUAUUGGGCGUAAAGAGCGUGUAGGCGGCCAGGUAGGUCCGUUGUGAAAACUCGAGGCUCAACCUCGAGACGUCGGCGGAAACCCUCUGGCUAGAGUCCGGAAGAGGAGAGUGGAAUUCCUGGUGUAGCGGUGAAAUGCGCAGAUAUCAGGAAGAACACCCGUGGCGAAGGCGGCUCUCUGGGGACGGUACUGACGCUGAGACGCGAAAGCGUGGGGAGCAAACAGG
rnacentral:rRNA from 1 species